AUUAAGUGGGUUGGAUUUGGAUUUAAAUUUUUUAACGUACCCAAUCGGUUUAACAUGUUUACGAUUUUUAUUUAAAAUUAUUUAGGCUUGUGGCUCUAUUGGCUCUUGGGCGGUCAUCCAUGUGGGCCUGCUGCAGUGCAUGCUCAUUUUUUUCAAAGCAAAAUAUUCGUCUGCUCGCACCCAAAAUUGGACUGCAUCUGCGCUGCCAUUUGAUUUCAUGCUCAAGCGAUCAAGUUUGAGCUCCAGUUCUCUGUUCCCAUCCCGCAGCCUGCUAGGAUUUUUUUUCUCUUCUCGUCGGCUGUCCCCUUUCCAAUGAAGCGAGAGAAGGCGGAGAGGAGAAAAAGGGCUAGGGUUCCCUUGAGGCCCGCCAGCUCGGGGUGCAGGGGCAAAUGAAGGGAACCUCGGAGUGGAAUCAUCCGAUCGUGGAGGCUUCAGAGCAAAGGAGAGGAGAAAGAAGCGUGGAACCAGUGAGAACGAAGAGGAGACCACAACCCGGCUACGGUGAAAUAAUUCCAGGAAGCGGUAGGAAGACAUGCGGAUGUCGUCCUCGAUGGCUCCGCCAUCGAAGUUUCCAACGUCACUGGAGGUGGUCGAGAGCAUGAGGGUGGAGGCUGGAGAGACAGUCGGGUGGAGAUGUGGCGAGGGUGAAAGCGGAGACGGUCAGCCACAGAGAGUCGGAAAUGGAACAGAUAUAACCCCUUAUAGAGGAAGAGGAAGAGAAGUGGCUCUUCCAACCAAGUGAAGGACAGCACUCACACAUCGAUGCUAUUGCCAAGAUGAGAAAUGGGCUAUCCAAAAAGAUAAAAUCUGAAAUGAAAAUGAGGGAAGAGAAAAUAAAAGAGAAGAGAGUAGAUAGGAGAAGAGGGUUAAGGUAAAUGAAAGAGAUCAUCUCACACUACAAGAAAAAGCAUCGAAAGUUAAGAUGGAUAAUUUAUGGACUAAGAAAGGAAAACAAAAUUUUAAAGCUGAAAAUUGUUGAGCUUGAAGGAAGCUUUGUGCCUCCAAAAGAUGAGGAAGAAGCUGAGGUUGGAAAUGAUAGAGCUCCAUUCAAAUUUUUUAGCGUAAGAAAAGAGGAAUAUGAAGAGAAAAAGGAGGGUGAUGCUAAAAAGAAGAGGAGCAUAGGCGGGUUAAUAAAAAAAUCAAGUUCAAUAGUUAGGAUGGUAAAGAGUAAGGGCUAUAGAGAGAAAUCUGUAAAGAUAAAAAAUUUUUAUGCAAUCCUACCUAUCCGUCGAUUAACGAGAAAUAAAAUAGUUGAAGAAGCUCACAUGUCAGACACUCUGCCCCCCACCGUUACAUCUGUCAUUGAUGCAGAUAGUGUGACUACUCAAUUCCGUCUGGACAGUAGUUUGAUCCAAUGGAAGUAGCCUUGUUUCACAAAUGUAAGUUCGUGAGCUACUAUUCAACCAGAUAUUUGAAAAUGAUAGUUUUUAUGAUACGCUAUAUGGAACUAUUGCAAUGUGGGGUACAAUUGGACGUAGGACCGAGUGAUAUUAUAAGGCUACGAGCUGAAUAUAUAUAGUGCACUCUUUAUUCGCGAAGGUUCAAAAAAGAGGGAUUGUCUGUGAAGAAACAAUAGAUGGAGGGCAUGCAGCCAAGAGUGAUACUGAAGUACAGUUUUUAAGUGACACGUAAAAAGAAGAUUGAGUCGACUACAGUAGAGGAAAAGCCUGCCAAUGAUGAAGAAUAGUUGGAGAAGUUUGCUGCAGAUGAAGUAGGGAGAGAGAAUGAAGCUGCUAAUUAGUAUGGAGAGGGUGGGGAGACUGUAGUUAAUGGGGAUGAGGCUAGUACAAUGGGGGAUCAAUUAUGUAAUUAUGGAUGGACAAACUUAAUGUAACUUUUACUUGUAGAUGAACAAUUGAGAUACAAUUAUGUAACUAAUAUUUAUUUUUAAUUAUAAAUUUUUUUAAAAAAAUUA